rnacentral:rRNA from 1 species
AUGGACAAUGAGUACUCAAUGGGAUACUAUCUCACCGAUGGCAUCUAUCCCGAAUGGGCAACUCUUGUGAAGUCCAUCAAGGAGAAAAAUGGGGUGCCCUUAACAAGAAAAGAGGCUCAUUUCACCAAGGCACCAGAGGCAGCCCGCAAGGAUAUUGAGAGAGCUUUCGGUGUUUUGCAAGCAAGGUUUGCCAUAGUUCGUGGUCCAGCCCGGUUUUGGGACAAAAAAACCUUGAUGAACAUCAUGAAAUGUUGUGUGAUUCUACACAACAUGAUCCUAGAGGAUGAGAGAGGGUUAAACCUCCCUUGUUUCUAUGACAAUGUUGGUACCCAUGUGCAACCGGAAAGAAACCCUUCUCGCAUACACGCUUUUCUUCAAGCACAUCGUCAGAUUGAGGAUGCAACCACUCAUGGUCGGCUCCGGGAUGAUCUAGUAGAGCACCACUGGCAGUUGGAUGGGCGGCGCAUUGUUUUA